CAUGUAAGCAUGUAAGAUUUAGAAAAGAGUAAGCAUACCAGAGAAUGGAUGUAUAGCGACAUAGGUGUUGGUGGCAAGAGCAGAUAUGAGGGGUAGAUAAGCACGUGGCAGAACAAAAGAAAAAUACUGAUGUAAUUAUAAGGUGUUGAGAAACAGCAAAUAUAAUAAUAAAAAAACACACAAAAGACUAAAACUGACAGUUGCUGGCGUGUCACUAUUAGAUGAGACCCGUAGGCGUCACUAACACACAACCUGAGGGCCAUGCUCUAACCAUAAGACAGCCCACACCUGAUCUGGCUGAUUUACUUGCUCUACAGGUUACUGAUCCUAACAGCAAAUAUAUACGGCGAAAGCACAACGGACGAAAGGCAAAGACAAAAAAAAACCCAUCAAGGUGUGAGGAACAUUAAAAGAGAAUGGCUAACAGCAGGUGACACCCUGGUUGAAUGCAGCAAGCAAAGACUUCUAAGGGUUCACAGGACCAGUACAGUACACCUUCACUGAGGCUGCUGACAGACUCUGUGCACACCGGUUAACCGCCUGUCCAUAUGAAGAACACGAUUCUAAUUUGUGAUGCUAAAAUAUAAUGUUACCGGGAUCGUAGGAGGGAAAUUCUAAAUAGAUGACAAACCUUCCCACAAAAAGAAGGACGUUCUCGCGGAGUAUUUAGCAGAGAGAAGCAUGGCGGAGAGUGCACAGAUGGAUUUAUCAGAUACCAUUCUUACGCUCCUAGUUGGAAAAAAUAUUCUCAAUAUUGUGCCUUUGCUGUUUUUACGAGAUAUUAAGACUCAGACAAUAGCAACUUCUAUGCUUAUCCUGAUCUUUACUGAUAUCGCUAUCACAGGUUUCCUGAUGUUUCUCUGGUAUACUGGAUGGCCAUUGCCUCUUGGUCUGGAUGUGGUGUUUUUGCGAUUCCUGUGUUUUCAGAAUGAAACGUACUGGUGUGUUUCUCUGCUUCUUCCGUGGGUGUCCCUUAAUGAAGAACUGGGACGCUCAUAUUUAUACAGACGUGGUUGUCUUCCGGAGGCCAAGCAAAAGUUCAUCUUGCAGACCAGCCUUCUCAAUCUAGCUUGCUGGAUGGUUGCAGCCUCAUUUGGAAUCAAUUUUUUGGGUGAGCUAACCCUAAGGGAAUCAGCAUGUGACCUUUUGAACUGGAGAUGUCUCUUUGCAUACCUAUAUGAGCCUACACACUCUAACUGGCUAGUUCCAUGCAUUGGUUUGGUCCUUGGGAGCACAUUGUCCUGCAGCACUAUUAUGUACAAAGACCUAACACCGGUGAAAGAGGAAAUGGGAGAACGAUUCUGUCUAAUCUCUACAAGGGCUCUCUUGCUUUGUUUAUGUGCUGCAGUAGCAUUCUUGGCACUGCCACCAUUUUUGGCAGUCAACUCUUUUUUAGCACUGACACUAGAUAGUCUGUGUAGCACCUUUAGAAUCCAGAGCCCUGAAGCUCAGAUUACAGUACAUAGCGUGCAAGAUCAUAAAAAAACAA